ensembl:lncRNA
UUAUUGCAGUUCGGUGGUUCAGCCUGGUGAAGGGGGCCAGGCUCACAGGCGUUACGAGGGUGCCCCGCAUUCUGCCUCCUCCAUCCUCCCACAGACACCGUCAGAAACCGCAGCCCUGCCCCACCGCUUCCUCCUCUGAAUGGGCGACCAUGUGUAUCUGCGUAGCUGUGGAGCCAGAGCCGGGAAGCAGAGAUGGGCACUUAUUGCAGUUCGGUGGUUCAGCCUGGUGAAGGGGGCCAGGCUCACAGGCGUUACGAGGGUGCCCCGCAUUCUGCCUCCUCCAUCCUCCCACAGACACCGUCAGAAACCGCAGCCCUGCCCCACCGCUUCCUCCUCUGAAUGGGCGACCAUGGGAGGAAGUGGGGUGUGGAAUUCUAGGCAACCCCUGCGGGCCUCAUCCUCCAAACUCUGUCGAACUAUCGAGCCACCAGAAGUGCCCACCUCGAGCUGGGAGUUCAGCUCCAGCAGAAGAGAAGGGGAAGCCACUUUUGAGGACUCUCGGUCUGGAAAAACCCUGAAAAAGAUCACCAUAAAUUGGAAUUGACUUGAUGGCACUAUUAUUGUUGUUGUUAAGCUGGCCUCUUUUCACCCGAGUCAUAGAUUCAUAGAGUCCUAGAAUAUUGGAGUCGGAAGGGGCCUCUAAGGCCAUCAAGCCCAACCCCCUGCUCAAGGCAGGAGCCCAAAUCAAAACAGAUCUGACAGACGGUGGUCCAAUUUUCUCUUGAAGGCCUCCAGCGCUGGAGCGCUCACCACCUCCUGAGGUCAUGGGUUCCCAUUGUUGUACUGCUCUGCUGAGACGGUUUUCCUGAUAUUCAGCCUAAAAUCUGGCUUCCUGUAACUUGAGCCCAUUAUGACCUGUCCUGCACUUUGGGAGGGUUGAGAGCAGAUCCUGCCCCUCCUAUGUUUGACCGACUGUCUUUCAAGUCUUGGGAAAGUGCUCUCCUGCCACCCCUCCGGCUUCUUCUCUCAAGCCAAUGGUCAGGCCAAUGGCCGGCCGCAAGGCGUCCUUCAGGCAUGUGGGACGGUCGGAAGCGCUCUUCUCCUGAGGCAGCCUUAUCUGUCCCUUCACUCAGCCACGCCAAGGCCAGUGGGCAGCAGUGGUUUUCUCGUAUACAUGACCUGCGCUCAAGAUGGUUCUUCCGGAGGAUCCUCUAUGUGUCCCCCACCUUGCAAAACCAGUUCUCGAUCUGCCUGGGACAACUGCUAGUUGGCUCCUGCCAGUGCAUUUCAGCAACGGAUGCGGAAUGGCUGGAGGAAAGGAGAACACGCUCCUCUCUUGCAAAUGCCAGUGGAAAGAUCCCGGAACAAAAGCAGUCAUGCUCAUACCACUUAGGGACAUGGUUUUAAUAAAAGUUACAACCAGAUAGUAAAUGUACAAACCAACAUGCUAGGUAGGAUAUGCAAUUUACUUGGCAGCCCCAUCUCCCACCUUCUUCAACCAGCAGCAAUCCCUGCCCUUCCCAAGACAGAUGCCUUUUCACGUUUAAACUGGACAGUAGUGACCGUCUCCCUUUUUGUGCAAAGCACUUGUGCAAAAACAAAACAAAAAGUCAUUUUCAUCAGUCUAAGAAACACACUCUCCAAAAUGGAAAUAAUAACCAAAGAUACCCAGAAAAGAAGAUAAAUGCAUGUGCAUGUAUGUGGAUCUAUAUGGAUGCAUCUCCCUUCUCCUAUCUCUGAAAGCAAUUAACAAACCGAGGGCUGUCACUUUGGUCAAGGGUGCAAGAUUUAAACGAUCUGGAAGCAUUUUUGGGUGCCUCACUCCUGAGCGGAAAAGGACUCGCAGCCCUGAUGAGGUGGGAAUUCACCUAUACUGAAUUUGAACCCACACUCAACUGUGCCAUGGCUGUUUUUCGCAUGAUGCCCUCGACAUGCGUUUUCUAGUAGUUCUGGUGUAGCGCAAAGCUUUUCUGAAGGUCCCCAAGACAUAGCAAGUUUCAGACCCAAGAGGCCUGGAGCAAAACAAUUUCCCAAGGUGAUGGUGGAUUACAUCACCUGUCCAGGGCACUCUGGCUUUACUAAAAUCACCUCCUCACAUCUCCCAGAUACCAUUGUGAGAAGUGGCUCUAAGCCCAAAAUGGAAGUCAACAGGAAGAGCUCUGUGGCACAAACCGUAUCUAUAAAGAUGGCUCCUGUGCAAGGGAGCAAACCUUCAGCCUGGUUUUGACGGGCUGCCGUGUUGCCCCAUAAGCUUUUACUGUAGCAUCAAACCCCUUGUUUUGAGAUCCACUUCCAGCCUUUAUCACAAUCACCCAGAUGCCUUACACUUUAUUAAAAAAAGAGAAAGAAUUCUUUUGAACAAACAGCCUUACUUAAAAAAAUAAAAACCACAUACAAAAGGAUUAGAAAAUUCA